rnacentral:lncRNA from 1 species
CCUAGUGUUAUUAUUAGGGCCCGAGCGUAGCUGCUAAGCAGCUGCGAGAGCCCUAUUAUUCCCCAAGUGGUUUUUUAGGGCCCGAGCGUAGCUGCUAAGCAGCUGCGAGAGCCCUCUUGUUCCUGUAGUUUCCUUCUUUUGUUAUUAUUAUUAGGGCCCGAGCCAGCUGCAGAGCAGCCGGGCGUAGGCCCUAUUAUUCCCCAAGUGGUUUUUCUUUGUUUCUUUCUUUCUUUCUUUCUUUCUUUCUUUCUUCUUUUUCCUCCCCUUUGAACUGGAAAAUGGCCCACUUCCCACUGGCGAAAACUCAUGAAAUUUGGCAGGACGACCGGGCCUGGUGAAAAAUUCGAUAUUCUGAAGUCGCCCAAACAAUAAAAUGCAAAAUGGCUCCAUAGCGCCCCCUAAGGUGGAAAUUCACACUAUUGACUGUCACGCCUGUACGCUUUGUCAUAUUGACACAAAAAUUGACACACAUAUGUAUCUCAAUAAGAUCUACAAAAAAGUCAGUGCGGCCGUAUCUGUCAAAAUUACGGUUAAAGGGUUAUUUCGCAUUUUUUGCCGAUCCGCACACAUUGGAAUUUCGCUAACUCCUCCGAAGGCUUUCGUUCCACCGGCACCACAUUUGCUCAGGCCAAUCUACACCCCGUGGCCAUUAAAAGUUAUCAAAAUCAUGACGCUGCACCCCAAGGUUUAGGUUCUAGGGGGCGCCAAAGAUAACACUAAAAUCCACAUAUUUAAAAGUCUUAUAACUUUUUAUUUUUGUCCUCACUGGCCUCCAAGUUUUCUAGGAUGAUGCAAUGUCCAGCCAUCAACACAUUUGUGAAGGAAUUUUUACUCCCCAAAAGAGCGCCCCCCCAUGGCAGGAGAAAAAAGUCCAUUUUUUCUUGUCCCCUAAGGUGAAAAUACACAUUGUUGAGUGUCACGCCUAUACGCUUUGUCAAAAUGACACAAAAAUUGACACACACAUGUAACUCAAUAAGAUCUACAAAAAAGUCAGUGCGCGCGUAUCUGUCAAAUGUACAGUUAAAGGGUUAUUCCGCAUUUUUUGCCGAUACGCACACAUUGGAAUUUCGCUAACUCCUCCGAAGGCUUUCGUUCCACCGGCACCACAUUUGCUCAGGCCAAUCUACACCCCAUGGCCAUUAAAAGUUAUUCAAAUCAUGAUGCUGCACCCCAUGGUUUAGGUUCUAGGGGGCGCCAAAAAAAACCCAAAAAUCCACAUUCUUAAAUGUUUCAUAACUUUUUAUUUUUGUCCUCACUGGCCUCCAAGUUUUCUAGGAUGAUGCAAUGUCCAGCCAUCAACACAUUUGUGAAGGAAUUUUUACUCCCCAAAAGAGCGCCCCCCAUGGUAGGAGAAAAAAGUCCAUUUUUUCUUGUCCCCUUACAUAAAAAUACACAUUGUUGAGUGUCACGCCUGAACGCUUUGUCAUAUUGACACAAAAAUUGACAAUCAUGUGUAUCUCAAUUAGAUCUACGAAAAAGUCAAAGAGCGCGUAUCUGUAUAAUGUACGGUUAAAGGGCUAUUUUGCAUUUUUUGCCGAUUCGCACACAUUGGAAUGUGGCUAUCUCCUCCUAAGGCUUUCGUCCCACCGAUACCAAAUUUGCUCAGGCCAAUCUACACCCCAUGGCCAUUCAAAGUUGUAAAAAUCAUGACGCUGCACCCCACGGUUUACGUUCUAGGGGGCGCCAAAGAUGACCCAAAAAUCCACAUUCUUAAAAGUCAUUUUGGCCACUGCAGGAGUACAGAGUACUGCAGUUCUAGGGGGCGCCAAAGAUGACCCAAAAAUCCACAUUCUUAAAAGUCUUUUUGGCCACUGCAGGAGUACAGAGUACUGCAGGAUACACACACAUAUACACACACGCCAACAUACACACACACACACACACACACACACACACACACACACACACACACACACUCAGAGUCUGUUUUUUAGCACCUGCAAAAACAUGCUGUUUACAUAUUUGACAAGAAUGCAGAGGCUUCCUUUUGCCCCUGAAAAAAAUCAAAUUUCAAACACAACUUGACUGUUCAUUUCUCCAAAAGACAACCAUGAAGCUCCAUUUCAAACCUGAAGCAGAUAGUUGGUGCAUGUGUACAGUAACCUGAGGGGAGUGAGGUGACUAUUUCUGAGGAGAACAUGAGCAGUGAAGAUUCACCUUGGAGCUAGAACAGGGACGUGCACAUGAUUAUACAGGGGCAGGGGCUCAAGUUUUUUCCAGUCAUUUAUACAAUAUGGAAAUUAAUGUGAAAUUAAACCACAAAUAUGUGUGAUGAACUGUUUUUAAAACUUAAACUUCAAAUAAAAAUUGUAAACUUCAAAACAUAUGCAAAUUUUUAACAAAGAACAUAGUAAUUUACCUCUAUUUACAUCAAAAUGCAGGCAAUGGCCCAGGCGUUCUUUGUAAAAUUAUUUACAAAACACUGUAUAGUCUCACAAAUGUCACUUUUUAUUUAUGCCACUACAAAAAAACAUGAUGUAAAUGAUGCAUGAUGUAAAACAUGAUGUAAAAAACUUGUGUAGAUCCUCCUCUAUGUCAGUCCAUGUGUAAUUUUUCCAUAAUUCUUUGUUUUUUGCAGCAUUUUUGUUAGUGUAACUGCAGAUUGUGCUGACAGUGUCUAUGGCACAAAAAAAAAAAAUUAAAAUGCCUCAACAUGAACCCCUGGUGGUCUCUGAGGGUGAAACCUGCUAACUGCUGCAGCUCUGUCAGCUUCAGUCUCCCAUGCAGAGCUCUGAGCGCAUGUGUGGCUCUGCACCCUUAGCAGCGUUGCUAACUCCUCAGUAAGGAAAGCCUGCUUCAUGUCAGAGUCUCUAAACUCCAGAAGAAGUCGAUAAAAGUCCCUUUCUUUCUAAAAAAAGUCGUUAGGGGGUCUGAAAAGUCAUUGAAUCUAACAACAAAGUCGCUAGGUUUGCAACUACGUGUCCCAGACUGCAUCCCUGCUGAGAGUCCCUCCCUCCCUUCUCAUGUUGCAGGAAGAACGUAAGCGCCCGCCCCUUGUCAAUCAGUCACCAUAUAAUUUUGGAUUGGUUGUUGUGGUGAAGUUUUCCACCAAUAGGAGAGAUGUUGUGGUGUGUUUUUUUUUUCUUUUGGCAAGCCUUUUCCGCCUGUAAGACCUGUCGCUAAUGUCUGCAUGCUAUGUUUUCCUGUCUCAUACAGCGCGAUCGAGCGCCGAACGUGAUCAAAAUAAGCAGAAAACAAGUAUCGCGGACAUAAUUUAUCAUAACUCUGGUUUUAUUUGGCCUAUCAACACAAUUUAAAAACUGGUAUAUAGGUUGAGGUCCUCACUUUUGAGAUAAGUUGAAACGGAGAGUCAACGAGGCUCCGUCUUGCAGCUACAUCCGGUUAAAUAUGUCAUGUGACUUGAACGCACACAUAGACACACACACACGCACACACACACACACACACACACACACACACACACACACACACACUCAGAGUCUGGUUUUUAGCACCUGCAAAAACAUGCUAUUUACAUAUUUGACAAGAAUGCAGAGGCUCCUUUUGCCCCUGAAAAAAAUCAAAUUUCAAACACAACUUGACUGGUCAUUUCUCCAAAAGACAACCAUGAAGCUCCAUCCAAACCUGAAGCAGGCACUUGGUGCAUGUGUACAGUAACCUGAGGGGAGUGAGGUGAGUGCUUCUGAGGAGAACAUGAGCAGUGAAGAUUCACCUUGGAGCUAGAACAGAGACAUGCACAUGAUUAUACAGGGGCAGGGGCUCAAGUUUUUUCCAGUCGUUUAUACAAUAUGGAAAUUAAUGUGAAAUUAAAACACAAAGUAUUAAUAGAAAGGUAAUGACUGUCCUGUGUAGGUGACAGUGAUAUCCAAUAGGCUAGGCACUCACGAGGCUGGCUGUGGCAAGUGUAAGUGAAAGCAACACGCACUGGCAGGAAGAACAGCAAACGCCGAUGAAGGAAAAGGGUCUUUGCAGUGAUGGGCGUUAACAGAGAAGGCGAUGGCCAGAGGACACAAAUGGGACGGGGAGGCAGCACGUUGGGGGGGGGGGGGGGGGGACGCGACACGGCUCGGGCCCGCCAGUGCCCCAACGGGGUCCUAGUUAUUAUUUUUCCUCCCCUUUGAACUGGAAAAUGGCCCACUUCCCACUGGCGAAAACUCAUGAAAUUUGGCAGGACGACCGGGCCUGGUGAAAAAUUUGAUAUUCCGAAGUCGCCCAAACAAGAAAAUGCAAAAUGGCUCCAUAGCGCCCCCUAAGGUGAAAAUUCACACUAUUGACUGUCACGCCUGUACGCUUUGUCAAAAUGACACAAAAAUUGACACACACAUGUAUCUCAAUAAGAUCUACAAAAAAGACAGUGCGGGCGUAUCUGUCAAAUGUACGGUUAAAGGGUUAAUUCGCAUUUUUUGCCAAUCCGCACACAUUGGAAUUUCGCUAACUCCUCCGAAGGCUUUCGUUCCACCGGCACCACAUUUGCUCAGGCCAAUCUACACCCCAUGGCCAUUAAAAGUUAUUCAAAUCAUGACGCUGCACCCCACGGUUUAGGUUCUAGGGGGCGCCAAAGAUAACCCUAAGAUCCACAUAUUUAAAAGUCUUAUAACUUUUUAUUUUUGCCCUCACUGGCCUCCAAGUUUUCUAGGAUGAUGCAAUGUCCAGCCAUCAACACAUUUGUGAAGGAAUUUUUACUCCCCAAAAGAGCGCCCCCCCAUGGCAGGAGAAAAAAGUCCAUUUUUUCUUGUCCCCUAAGGUGAAAAUACACAUUGUUGAGUGUAACACCUGUAGGCUUUGGCAAAAUGACACCAAAAUUGACACACACAUGUAUCUCGAUAAGAUCUACAAAAAAGUCAAUGCGCACGUAUCUGUCAAAUGUACGGUUAAAGGGUUAUUCCGCAUUUUUUGCCGAUCCGCACACAUUGGAAUUUCGCUAACUCCUCCGAAGGCUUUCGUUCCACCGGCACCACAUUUUCUCAGGCCAAUCUACACCCCAUGGCCAUUAAAAGUUAUUCAAAUCAUGAUGCUGCACCCCACGGUUUAGGUUCUAGGGGGCGCCAAAGAUAACCGUAAAAUCCACAUAUUUAAAAGUCUUAUAACUUUUUAUUUUUGUCCCCACUGGCCUCCAAGUUUUCUAGGAUGAUGCAAUGUCCAGCCAUCAACACAUUUGUGAAGGAAUUUUUACUCGCCAAAAGAGCGCCCCCCAUGGCAGGAGAAAAAAGUCCAUUUUUUCUUGUCCACUAAGGUGAAAAUACACAUUGUUGAGUGCUACGCCUGUAUGUUUUGUCGUAUUGACACAAAAUUUUACAUACACGUGUCUUUCAAUAAGAUCUUCGAAAAAGUCAAUGGCCACGUAUCUGUAAAAUGUACGGUUAAAGGGUUAUUUCGCAUUUUUUGCAGAUUCGCACACAUUGGAAUUUAGCUAACUCCUCCGAAGGCUUUCUUUCCACCGGCACCACAUUUGCUCAGGCCAAUCUACACCCCAUGGCCAUUAAAAGUUAUUCAAAUCAUGACGCUGCACCCCACGGUUUAGGUUCUAGGGGGCGCCAAAGAUAACCCUAAAAUCCACAUAUUUAAAAGUCUUAUAACUUUUUAUUUUUGUCCUCACUGGCCUCCAUGUUUUCUAGGAUGAUGCAAUGUCCAGCCAUCAACACAUUUGUGAAGGAGUUUUUUCUCGUUAAAAGAGCGCCCCCCAUGGCAGGAGAAUAAAGUCAAGUUUUUCCUGUUCAUCAUUCAAUGGCUCAAACGCACUGCUCUCUCGGCAAAAGCGAAAGGAGGAGCAACUUGCCAUUUGGAUAUAUCUUAGCUGUGUUUGUGCCCUCACUCAUGGUCCAGACUUUUUUCAAAUAGGACAUGGAGUUUUUCUGCAGCGAGCGUUUUGGUAGAAACUGCGCCUCCCGUUCAUUAUAAUGGUAAAUGACCACAAACAAGUGCGCACACCAUCUUUGGACCUUGAGUGUGACGCGCUCGGGUGGGGGAGGUGGUCGCGCUGGGGGCGGCGUGACACGGCUCGGGCCCGCCAGUGCCCCAACGGGGCCCUAGUUAGGGCCCGAGCGUAGCUGCUAAGCAGCUGCGAGAGCCCUCUUGUUCCUGCAUGUUUCCUUCUUUUGUUAUUAUUAUUAUUUUUCCUCCCCUUUGAACUGGAAAAUGGCCCACUUCCCACUGGCGAAAACUCAUGAAAUUUGGCAGGACGACCGGGCCUGGUGAAAAAUUUGAUAUUCCGAAGUCGGCCAAACAAUAAAAUGCAAAAUGGCUCCAUAGCGCCCCCUAAGGUGAAAAUUCACACUAUUGACUGUCACGCGUGUACGCUUUGUCAAAAUGACACAAAAAUUGACACACACAUGUAUCUCAAUAAGAUCUACAAAAAAGUCAGUGCGGGCGUAUCUGUCAAAUGUACGGUUAAAGGGUUAUUUCGCAUUUUUUGCCGAUCCGCACACAUUGGAAUUUCGCUAACUCCUCCGAAGGCUUUCGUUCCACCGGCACCACAUUUGCUCAGGCCAAUCUACACCCCAUGGCCAUUAAAAGUUAUUCAAAUCAUGACGCUGCACCCCACGGUUUAGGUUCUAGGGGGCGCCAAAGAUAACCCUAAGAUCCACAUAUUUAAAAGUCUUAUAACUUUUUAUUUUUGCCCUCACUGGCCUCCAAGUUUUCUAGGAUGAUGCAAUGUCCAGCCAUCAACACAUUUGUGAAGGAAUUUUUACUCCCCAAAAGAGCGCCCCCUCAUGGCAGGAGAAAAAAGUCCAUUUUUUCUUGUCCCCUAAGGUGAAAAUACACAUUGUUGAGUGUCACGCCUGUACGCUUUGUCAUAUUGACACAAAAUUUGACACACACAUGUAUCUCAAUAAGAUCUACGAAAAAGUCAAUGCGCGCGUAUCUGUCAAAUGUACGGUUAAAGGGUUAUUCCGCAUUUUUUGCCGAUCCGCACACAUUGGAAUUUCGCUAACUCCUCCUAAGGCUGGCGUUCCACCGGCACCACAUUUGCUCAGGCCAAUCUACACCCCAUGGCCAUUAAAAGUUAUUCAAAUCAUGACGCUGCACCCCACGGUUUAGGUUCUAGGGGGCGCCAAAGAUAACCCUAAAAUCCACAUAUUUCAAAGUCUUAUAACUUUUUAUUUUUGUCCUCACUGGCCUCCAAGUUUUCUAGGAUGAUGCAAUGUCCAGCCAUCAACACAUUUGUGAAGGAAUUUUUACUCCCCAAAAGAGCGCCCCCCCAUGGCAGGAGAAAAAAGUCAAUUUUUUCCCGUCCCCUAAGGUGAAAAUACACAUUGUUGAGUGUCACGCCUGUACGCUUUGUCAUAGUGACACAAAAUUUGACAAUCACGUGUAUCUCAAUAAGAUCUACGAAAAAGUCAAUGGGUGCGUAUCUGUUAAAUGUAUGGUUAGAGGGCUAUUUUGCAUUUUUUGCCGAUUCGCACACAUUGGAAUGUGGCUAACUCCUCCUAAGGCUUUCGUCCCACUGAAACCAAAUUUGCUCAGGCCAAUCUACACCCCAUGGCCAUUCAAAGUUGUAAAAAUCAUGACGCUGCACCCCACGGUUUACGUUCUAGGGGGCGCCAAAGAUGACCAAAAAAUCCACAUUCUUAAAAGAAUCCACAUCCCCCCCCCCCCAAGGCAGGAGAAAAAGUCCAGUUAACCCUGCCCAUCGCUCAAUGGCUCAAUCGCAUUGCUCUCCCGGCAACACCGUAAGGAGGAGCAACUUGCCAUUUGGAUAUUUCCUAGCUGUGUUUGUGCCCUCACUCAUGGUCCAGACUUUUUUCAAAUAGGACAUGUAGUUUGUCUGCAGCGACCGUUUUGGUAGAAACUGCGCCUCCCAUUCAUUAUAAUGGGAAAUGACCACAGACAAGUGCGCACACCAUCUUUGGACCUUGAGUGUGAUGCGAUCGGGAGGGGGAGGCGGUCGCGCUGGGGGCGGCGCGACGCGGCUCGGGCCCGACAGUGCCCCACCGGGGCCCUAGUUAGGGCCCGAGCGUAGCUGCUAAGCAGCUGCGAGAGCCCUCUUGUUCCUGUAGUUUCCUUCUUUUGUUAUUAUUAUUAUUUUUCCUCCCCUUUGAACUGGAAAAUGGCCCACUUCCCACUGGCGAAAACUCAUGAAAUUUGGCAGGACGACCGGGCCUGGUGAAAAAUUUGAUAUUCCGAAGUCGCCCAAACAAGAAAAUGCAAAAUGGCUCCAUAGCGCCCCCUAAGGUGAAAAUUCACACUAUUCACUGUCACGCCUGUACGCUUUGUCAAAAUGACACAAAAAUUGACACACACAUGUAUCUCAAUAAGAUCUACAAAAAAGUCAGUGCGGGCGUAUCUGUCAAAUGUACGGUUAAAGGGUUAUUUCGCAUUUUUUGCCGAUCCGCACACAUUGGAAUUUCGCUAACUCCUCCGAAGGCUUUCGUUCCACCGGCACCACAUUUGCUCAGGCCAAUCUACACCCCAUGGCCAUUAAAAGUUAUUCAAAUCAUGACGCUGCACCCCACGGUUUAGGUUCUAGGGGGCGCCAAAGAUAACCCUAAGAUCCACAUAUUUAAAAGUCUUAUAACUUUUUAUUUUUGCCCUCACUGGCCUCCAAGUUUUCUAGGAUGAUGCAAUGUCCAGCCAUCAACACAUUUGUGAAGGAAUUUUUACUCCCCAAAAGAGCGCCCCCCCAUGGCAGGAGAAAAAAGUCCAUUUUUUCUUGUCCCCUAAGGUGAAAAUACACAUUGUUGAGUGUAACACCUGUACGCUUUGGCAAAAUGACACAAAAAUUGACACACACAUGUAUCUCAAUAAGAUCUACGAAAAAGUCAAUGCGCGCGUAUCUGUUAAAUGUACGGUUAAAGGGUUAUUCCGCAUUUUUUGCCGAUCCGCACACAUUGGAAUUUCGCUAACUCCUCCGAAGGCUUUCGUUCCACCGGCACCACAUUUGCUCAGGCCAAUCUACACCCCAUGGCCAUUAAAAGUUAUUCAAAUCAUGACGCUGCACCCCACAGUUUAGGUUCUAGGGGGCGCCAAAGAUAACCGUAAAAUCCACAUAUUUCAAAGUCUUAUAACUUUUUAUUUUUGUGCCCACUGGCCUCCAAGUUUUCUAGGAUGAUGCAAUGUCCAGCCAUCAACACAUUUGUGAAGGAAUUUUUACUCGCCAAAAGAGCGCCCCCCCAUGGCAGGAGAAAAAAGUCCAUUUUUUCUUGUCCACUAAGGUGAAAAUACACAUUGUUGAGUGCUACGCCUGUAUGUUUUGUCGUAUUGACACAAAAUUUUACAUACACGUGUAUUUCAAUAAGAUCUUCGAAAAAGUCAAUGGCCACGUAUCUGUAAAAUGUACGGUUAAAGGGUUAUUUCGCAUUUUUUGCAGAUUCGCACACAUUGGAAUUUCGCUAACUCCUCCGAAGGCUUUCGUUCCACCGGCACCACAUUUGCUCAGGCCAAUCUACACCCCAUGGCCAUUAAAAGUUAUUCAAAUCAUGACGCUGCACCCCACGGUUUAGGUUCUAGGGGGCGCCAAAGAUAACCCUAAAAUCCACAUAUUUAAAAGUCUUAUAACUUUUUAUUUUUGUCCUCACUGGCCUCCAUGUUUUCUAGGAUGAUGCAAUGUCCAGCCAUCAACACAUUUGUGAAGGAGUUUUUUCUCGUUAAAAGAGCGCCCCCCAUGGCAGGAGAAUAAAGUCAAGUUUUUCCUGUUCAUCAUUCAAUGGCUCAAACGCACUGCUCUCUCGGCAAAAGCGAAAGGAGGAGCAACUUGCCAUUUGGAUAUAUCUUAGCUGUGUUUGUGCCCUCACUCAUGGUCCAGACUUUUUUCAAAUAGGACAUGGAGUUUUUCUGCAGCGAGCGCUUUGGUAGAAACUGCGCCUCCCGUUCAUUAUAAUGGUAAUUGACCACAAACAAGUGCGCACACCAUCUUUGGACCUUGAGUGUGACGCGAUCGGGUGGGGGAGGCGGUCGCGCUGGGGGCGGCGUGACACGGCUCGGGCCCGCCAGUGCCCCAACGGGGCCCUAGUUCUUUCUUUCUUUCUUCUUUUUCCUCCCCUUUGAACUGGAAAAUGGCCCACUUCCCACUGGCGAAAACUCAGGAAAUUUGGCAGGACGACCGGGCCUGGUGAAAAAUUCGUUAUUCUGAAGUCGCCCAAACAAUAAAAUGCAAAAUGGCUCCAUAGCGCCCCCUAAGGUGGAAAUUCACACUAUUGACUGUCACGCCUGUACGCUUUGUCAUAUUGACACAAAAAUUGACACACAUAUGUAUCUCAAUAAGAUCUACAAAAAAGUCAGUGCGGGCGUAUCUGUCAAAUGUACGGUUAAAGGGUUAUUUCGCAUUUUUUGCCGAUCCGCACACAUUGGAAUUUCGCUAACUCCUCCGAAGGCUUUCGUUCCACCGGCACCACAUUUGCUCAGGCCAAUCUACACCCCAUGGCCAUUAAAAGUUAUUCAAAUCAUGACGCUGCACCCCACGGUUUAGGUUCUAGGGGGCGCCAAAGAUAACCCUAAAAUCCACAUUUUUAAAAGUCUUAUAACUUUUUAUUUUUGUCCUCACUGGCCUCCAAGUUUUCUAGGAUGAUGCAAUGUCCAGCCAUCAACACAUUUGUGAAGGAAUUUUUACUCCCCAAAAGAGCGCCCCCCCAUGGCAGGAGAAAAAAGUCCAUUUUUUCUUGUCCCCUAAGGUGAAAAUACACAUUGUUGAGUGUCACGCCUAUACGCUUUGUCAAAAUGACACAAAAAUUGACACACACAUGUAUCUCAAUAAGAUCUACAAAAAAGUCCAUGCGCGCGUAUCUGUCUAAUGUACGGUUAAAGGGUUAUUCCGCAUUUUUUGCCGAUUCGCACACAUUGGAAUUUCGCUAACUCCUCCGAAGGCUUUCGUUCCACCGGCACCACAUUUGCUCAGGCCAAAUUACACCCCAUGGCCAUUAAAAGUUAUUCAAAUCAUGACGCUGCACCCCACGGUUUACGUUCUAGGGGGCGCCAAAGAUAACCCAAAAAUCCACAUUUUUAAAAGUCUUAUAACUUUUUAUUUUUGUCCUCACUGGCCUCCAAGUUUUCUAGGAUGAUGCAAUGUCCAGCCAUCAACACAUUUGUGAAGGAAUUUUUACUCCCCAAAAGAGCGCCCCCCAUGGCAGGAGAAAAAAGUCCAUUUUUUCUUGUCCCCUAAGGUGAAAAUACACAUUGUUGACUGUCACGCCUGUACGCUUUGGCAAAAUGACACAAAAAUUGACAAUCAUGUGUAUCUCAAUUAGAUCUACGAAAAAGUCAAAGAGCGCGUAUCUGUAUAAUGUACGGUAAAAGGGCUAUUUUGCAUUUUUUGCCGAUUCGCACACAUUGGAAUUUUGCUAACUCCUCCUAAGGCUUUCGUCCCACUGACACCAAAUUUGCUCAGGCCAAUCUACACUCCAUGGCCAUUCAAAGUUGUAAAAAUCAUGACGCUGCACCCCACGAUUUACGUUUUAGGGGGCGCCAAAGAUGACCCAAAUAUACAUUACAGUAGACAAAGUAGUUUUGCCCACUGAGUGGCGCCAAAGGGACUUGUCUGUGGAGUCUGUGAGUCACUAUUGGCCGUUUUUGACUACUUUAGAUUUUACCUUUAUAUUUCCUCUCACAAAAUUUUUACCUUGCCUUGCCUGGUAUCAUUUUUUUCAGCACAACCUCACCUGUGUCAAUUUACAGUUAUUUUAUCAUUUUGACAUACUAUAUUUACACAUUGGACCCAAAUUCACACACAAAACAUAAAAUCCGAGUGGAAAAAAGUAACGUUUUUACUGUGAAAACCACAAAUAUGUGUGAUGAACUGUUUUUAAACUUAAACUUCAAAUAAAAAUUGUAAACUUCAAAACAUAUGCAAAUUUUUAACAAAGAACAUAGUAAUUUACCUCUAUUGACAUCAAAAUGCAGGCAAUGGCCCAGGUGUUCUUUGUAAAAUUAUUUACAAAACACUGUAUAGUCUCACAAAUGUCACUUUUUAUUUAUGCCACUACAAAAAAACAUGAUGUAAAUGAUGCAUGAUGUAAAACAUGAUGUAAAAAACUUGUGUAGAUCCUCCUCUAUGUUAGUCCAUGUGUAAUUUUUCCAUAAUUCUUUGUUUUUUGCAGCAUUUUUGUUAGUGUAACUGCAGAUUGUGCUGACAGUGUCUAUGGCAAAAAAAAAAAAAAAACUGAAAAUGCCUCAACAUGAACCCCUGGUGGUCUCUGAGGGUGAAACCUGCUAACUGCUGCAGCUCUGUCAGCUUCAGUCUCCCAUGCAGAGCUCGGAGCGCAUGUGUGGCUCUGCACCCUUAGCAGCGUUGCUAACUCCUCAGUAAGGAAAGCCUGCUUCAUGUCAGAGUCUCUAAACUCCAGAAGAAGUCGAUAAAAGUCACUUUCUUUCUAAAAAAAAGUCGUUAGGGGGUCUGAAAAGUCAUUGAAUCUAACAACAAAGUCGCUAGGUUUGCAACUACGUGUCCCAGACUGCAUCCCUGCUGAGAGUCCCUCCCUCCCUUCUCAUAUUGCAGGAAGAACGCAAGUUCCCGCCCCUUGUCAAUCAGUCACCAUAUAAUUUUGGAUUGGUUGUUGUGGUGAAGUUUUCCACCAAUAGGAGAGAUGUUGUGGUGUGUUUUUUUUUUUCCUUUGGCAAGCCUUUUCCGCCUGUAAGACCUGUCGCUAAUGUCUGCAUGCUAUGUUUUCCUGUCUCAUACAGCGCGAUCGAGCGCCGAACGUGAUCAAAAUAAGCAGAAAACAAGAAUCGUGGACAUAAUUUAUCAUAACUCUGGUUUUAUUUGGCCUAUCAACACAAUUUAAAAACUGGUAUAUAGGUUGAGGUCCUCACUUUUGAGAUAAAUUGAAACGGAGAGUCAACGAGGCUCCGUCUUGCAGCUACAUCCAGUUAAAUAUGUCAUGUGACUUGAACGCACACACACACACACACACACACACACACACACACACACACACACACACACAGACACACACACACACGCACACACACACACUCAGAGUCUGGUUUUUAGCACCUGCAAAAACAUGCUAUUUACAUAUCUGACAAGAAUGCAGAGGCUCCUUUUGCCCCUGAAAAAAAUCAGAUUUCAAACACAACUUGACUGGUCAUUUCUCCAAAAGACAACCAUGAAGCUCCAUCCAAACCUGAAGCAGGCAGUUGGUGCAUGUGUACAGUAACCUGAGGGGAGUGAGGUGACUGCUUCUGAGGAGAACAUGAGCAGUGAAGAUUCACCUUAGAGCUAGAACAGAGACGUGCACAUGAUUAUACAGGGGCAGGGGCUCAAGUUUUUUCCAGUUGUUUAUAUAAUAUGGAAAUUAAUGUGAAAUUAAAAAACAAAGUAUUAAUAGAAAGGUAAUGACUGUCCUGUGUAGGUGACAGUGAUAUCCAAUAGGCUAGGCACUCACGAGGCUGGCUGUGGCAAGUGUAAGUGAAAGCAACAUGCACUGGCAGGAAGAACAGCAAACGCCGAUGAAGGAAAAGGGUCUUUGCAGUGAUGGGCGUUACCAGAGAGGGCGAUGGCCAGAGGACACAAAUGGGACGGGGAGGCAGCGCGUUGGGGGGGGGACGCGACACAGCUCGGGCCCGACAGUGCCCCAACGGGGUCCUAGUCUUUGUUUCUUUUUUCUUUUUCCUCCCCUUUGAACUGGAAAAUGGCCCACUUCCCACUGGCGAAAACUCAUGAAAUUUGGCAGGACGACCGGGCCUGGUGAAAAAUUUGAUAUUCUGAAGUCGCCCAAACAAUACAAUGCAAAAUGGCUCCAUAGCGCCCCCUAAGGUGAAAAAUUCACCUGACGCCUGUACGCUUUGUCAAAAUGACACAAAAAUUGACACACACAUGUAUCUCAAUAAGAUCUACAAAAAAGUCAGUGCGGGCGUAUCUGUCAAAUGUACGGUUAAAGGGUUAUUGCGCAUUUUUUGCCGAUCCGCACACAUUGGAAUUUCGCUAACUCCUCCGAAGGCUUUCGUUCCACCGGCACCACAUUUGCUCAGGCCAAUCUACACCCCAUGGCCAUUAAAAGUUAUUCAAAUCAUGACGCUGCACCCCACGGUUUAGGUUCUAGGGGGCGCCAAAGAUAACCCUAAAAUCCACAUAUUUCAAAGUCUUAUAACUUUUUAUUUUUGCCCUCACUGGCCUCCAAGUUUUCUAGGAUGAUGCAAUGUCCAGCCAUCAACACAUUUGUGAAGGAAUUUUUACUCCCCAAAAGAGCGCCCCCCCAUGGCAGGAGAAAAAAGUCCAUUUUUUCUUGUCCCAUAAGGUGAAAAUUCACACUAUUGACUGUCACGCCUGUACGCUUUGUCAAAAUUACACAAAAAUUGACACACACAUGUAUCUCAAUAAGAUCUACAAAAAAGUCAGUGCGGGCGUAUCUGUCAAAUGUACGGUUAAAGGGUUAUUGCGCAUUUUUUGCCGAUCCGCACACAUUGGAAUUUCGCUAACUCCUCCGAAGGCUUUCGUUCCACCGGCACCACAUUUGCUCAGGCCAAUCUACACCCCAUGGCCAUUAAAAGUUAUUCAAAUCAUGACGCUGCACCCCACGGUUUAGGUUCUAGGGGGCGCCAAAGAUAACCCUAAAAUCCACAUAUUUAAAAGUCUUAUAACUUUUUAUUUUUGUCCUCUCUGGCCUCCAAGUUUUCUAGGAUGAUGCAAUGUCCAGCCAUCAACACAUUUGUGAAGGAAUUUUUACUCCCUAAAAGAGCGCCCCCCCAUGGCAGGAGAAAAAAGUCCAUUUUUUCUUGUCCCAUAAGGUGAAAAUACACAUUUUUGACUGUCAAACCUGUAUGCUUUGUCAUAUUGACACAAAAUUUGACACACACAUGUAUCUCAAUAAGAUCUACGAAAAAGUCAAUGCGCGCGUAUCUGUAAAAUGUACGGUUAAAGGGCUAUUUUGCAUUUUUUGCCGAUUAGCACACAUUGGAAUGUGGCUAACUCCUCCUAAGGCUUUCGUCCCACUGACACCAAAUUUGCUCAGGCCAAUCUACACCCCAUGGCCAUUCAAAGUUUUUAAAAAUCAUGACGCUGCACCCCACGGUUUACGUUCUAGGGGGCGCCAAAGAUGACCCAAAUAUCCACAUUCUUAAAAGAAUCCACAUUCCCCCCCCCCCCCAUCCCCCAUCCCCCAUCCCCCAUGGCAGGAGAAACAGUCAAGUUUUUCCUGCCCAUCACUCAAUGGCUCAAUCGCAUCGCUCUCCCGGCAACACCGUAACGAGGAGCAACUUGCCGUUUGGAUAUAUCCUAGCUGUGUUUGUGCCCUCACUCAUGGUCCAGACUUUUUUCAAAUAGGACAUGUAGUUUGUCUGCAGCGAGUGCUUUGGUAGAAACUGCGCCUCCCAUUCAUUAUAAUGGGAAAUGACCACAGACAAGUGCGCACACCAUCUUUGGACCUUGAGUGUGACGCGAUCGGGAGGGGGAGGCGGUCGCACUGGGGGCGGCGCAACGCGGCUCGGGCCCGCCAGUGCCCCAACGGGGCCCUAGUUAGGGCCCGAGCCAGCUGCAGAGCAGCCGGGCGUAGGCCCUAUUAUUCCCCAAGUGGUUUUUCUUUGUUUCUUUCUUUCUUUCUUUCUUUCUUUCUUUCUUCUUUUUCCUCCCCUUUGAACUGGAAAAUGGCCCACUUCCCACUGCCGAAAACUCAUGAAAUUUGGCAGGACGACCGGGCCUGGUGAAAAAUUCGAUAUUCUGAAGUCGCCCAAACAAUAAAAUGCAAAAUGGCUCCAUAGCGCCCCCUAAGGUGGAAAUUCACACUAUUGACUGUCACGCCUGUACGCUUUGUCAUAUUGACACAAAAAUUGACACACAUAUGUAUCUCAAUAAGAUCUACAAAAAAGUCAGUGCGGCCGUAUCUGUCAAAUGUACGGUUAAAGGGUUAUUUCGCAUUUUUUGCCGAUCCGCACACAUUGGAAUUUCGCUAACUCCUCCGAAGGCUUUCGUUCCACCGGCACCACAUUUGCUCAGGCCAAUCUACACCCCAUGGCCAUUAAAAGUUAUUCAAAUCAUGACGCUGCACCCCACGGUUUAGGUUCUAGGGGGCGCCAAAGAUAACCCUAAAAUCCACAUAUUUAAAAGUCUUAUAACUUUUUAUUUUUGCCCUCACUGGCCUCCAAGUUUUCUAGGAUGAUGCAAUGUCCAGCCAUCAACACAUUUGUGAAGGAAUUUUUACUCCCCAAAAGAGCGCCCCCCCAUGGCAGGAGAAAAAAGUCCAUUUUUUCUUGUCCCCUAAGGUGAAAAUUCACACUAUUGACUGUCACGCCUGUACGCUUUGUCAAAAUGACACAAAAAUUGACACACACAUGUAUCUCAAUAAGAUCUACAAAAAAGUCCAUGCGCGCGUAUCUGUCUAAUGUACGGUUAAAGGGUUAUUUCGCAUUUUUUGCCGAUCCGCACACAUUGGAAUUUCGCUAACUCCUCCGAAGGCUUUCGUUCCACCGGCACCACAUUUGCUCAGGCCAAUCUACACCCCAUGGCCAUUAAAAGUUAUUCAAAUCAUGACGCUGCACCCCACGGUUUACGUUCUAGGGGGCGCCAAAGAUAACCCAAAAAUCCACAUUUUUAAAAGUCUUAUAACUUUUUAUUUUUGUCCUCACUGGCCUCCAAGUUUUCUAGGAUGAUGCAAUGUCCAGCCAUCAACACAUUUGUGAAGGAAUUUUUACUCCCCAAAAGAGCGCCCCCCAUGGCAGGAGAAAAAAGUCAAUUUUUUCUUGUCCCCUAAGGUGAAAAUACACAUUGUUGACUGUCACGCCUGUACGCUUUGGCAAAAUGACACAAAAAUUGACAAUCAUGUGUAUCUCAAUUAGAUCUACGAAAAAGUCAAAGAGCGCGUAUCUGUAUAAUGUACGGUAAAAGGGCUAUUUUGCAUUUUUUGCCGAUUCGCACACAUUGGAAUUUCGCUAACUCCUCCUAAGGCUUUCGUCCCACUGACACCAAAUUUGCUCAGGCCAAUCUACACUCCAUGGCCAUUCAAAGUUGUAAAAAUCAUGACGCUGCACCCCACGGUUUACGUUUUAGGGGGCGCCAAAGAUGACCCAAAUAUACAUUACAGUAGACAAAGUAGUUUUGCCCACUGAGUGGCGCCAAAGGGACUUGUCUGUGGAGUCUGUGAGUCACUAUUGGCCGUUUUUGACUACUUUAGAUUUUACCUUUAUAUUUCCUCUUACAAAAUUUUUACCUUGCCUUGCCUGGUAUCAUUUUUUUCAGCACAACCUCACCUGUGUCAAUUUACAGUUAUUUUAUCAUUUUGACAUACUAUAUUUACACAUUGGACCCAAAUUCACACACAAAACAUAAAAUCCGAGUGGAAAAAAGUAAUGUUUUUACUGUGAAAACCACAAAUAUGUGUGAUGAACUGUUUUUAAAACUUAAACUUCAAAUAAAAAUUGUAAACUUCAAAACAUAUGCAAAUUUUUAACAAAGAACAUAGUAAUUUACCUCUAUUGACAUCAAAAUGCAGGCAAUGGCCCAGGUGUUCUUUGUAAAAUUAUUUACAAAACACUGUAUAGUCUCACAAAUGUCACUUUUUAUUUAUGCCACUACAAAAAAACAUGAUGUAAAUGAUGCAUGAUGUAAAACAUGAUGUAAAAAACUUGUGUAGAUCCUCCUCUAUGUUAGUCCAUGUGUAAUUUUUCCAUAAUUCUUUGUUUUUUGCAGCAUUUUUGUUAGUGUAACUGCAGAUUGUGCUGACAGUGUCUAUGGCAAAAAAAAAAAAAACAAACUGAAAAUGCCUCAACAUGAACCCCUGGUGGUCUCUGAGGGUGAAACCUGCUAACUGCUGCAGCUCUGUCAGCUUCAGUCUCCCAUGCAGAGCUCGGAGCGCAUGUGUGGCUCUGCACCCUUAGCAGCGUUGCUAACUCCUCAGUAAGGAAAGCCUGCUUCAUGUCAGAGUCUCUAAACUCCAGAAGAAGUCGAUAAAAGUCCCUUUCUUUCUAAAAAAAAGUCGUUAGGGGGUCUGAAAAGUCAUUGAAUCUAACAACAAAGUCGCUAGGUUUGCAACUACGUGUCCCAGACUGCAUCCCUGCUGAGAGUCCCUCCCUCCCUUCUCAUAUUGCAGGAAGAACGUAAGUUCUCGCCCCUUGUCAAUCAGUCACCAUAUAAUUUUGGAUUGGUUGUUGUGGUGAAGUUUUCCACCAAUAGGAGAGAUGUUGUGGUGUGUAUUUUUUUUCCUUUGGCAAGCCUUUUCCGCCUGUAAGACCUGUCGCUAAUGUCUGCAUGCUAUGUUUUCCUGUCUCAUACAGCGCGAUCGAGCGCCGAACGUGAUCAAAAUAAGCAGAAAACAAGUAUCGCGGACAUAAUUUAUCAUAACUCUGGUUUUAUUUGGCCUAUCAACACAAUUUAAAAACUGGUAUAUAGGUUGAGGUCCUCACUUUUGAGAUAAAUUGAAACGGAGAGUCAACGAGGCUCCGUCUUGCAGCUACAUCCGGUUAAAUAUGUCAUGUGACUUGAACGCACACACACACACACACACACAGACACACACACACACACGCACACACACACACUCAGAGUCUGGUUUGUAGCACCUGCAAAAACAUGCUAUUUACAUAUUUGACAAGAAUGCAGAGGCUCCUUUUGCCCCUGAAAAAAAUCAAAUUUCAAACACAACUUGACUGGUCAUUUCUCCAAAAGACAACCAUGAAGCUCCAUCCAAACCUGAAGCAGGCAGUUGGUGCAUGUGUACAGUAACCUGAGGGGAGUGAGGUGACUGCUUCUGAGGAGAACAUGAGCAGUGAAGAUUUACCUUAGAGCUAGAACAGAGACGUGCACAUGAUUAUACAGGGGCAGGGGCUCAAGUUUUUUCCAGUCGUUUAUACAAUUUGGAAAUUAAUGUGAAAUUAAAAAACAAAGUAUUAAUAGAAAGGUAAUGACUGUCCUGUGUAGGUGACAGUGAUAUCCAAUAGGCUAGGCACUCACGAGGCUGGCUGUGGCAAGUGUAAGUGAAAGCAACACGCACUGGCAGGAAGAACAGCAAACGCCGAUGAAGGAAAAGGGUCUUUGCAGUGAUGGGCGUUACCAAAGAGGGCGAUGGCCAGAGGACACAAAUGGGACGGGGAGGCAGCGCGUUGGGGGGGGGACGCGACACAGCUCGGGCCCGCCAGUGCCCCAACGGGGUCCUAGUUAUUAUUAUUUUUCCUCCCCUUUGAACUGGAAAAUGGCCCACUUCCCACUGGCGAAAACUCAUGAAAUUUGGCAGGACGACCGGGCCUGGUGAAAAAUUUGAUAUUCCGAAGUCGCCCAAACAAGAAAAUGCAAAAUGGCUCCAUAGCGCCCCCUAAGGUGAAAAUUCACACUAUUCACUGUCACGCCGGUACGCUUUGUCAAAAUGACACAAAAAUUGACACACACAUGUAUCUCAAUAAGAUCUACAAAAAAGUCAGUGCGGGCGUAUCUGUCAAAUGUACGGUUAAAGGGUUAUUUCGCAUUUUUUGCCGAUCCGCACACAUUGGAAUUUCGCUAACUCCUCCGAAGGCUUUCGUUCCACCGGCACCACAUUUGCUCAGGCCAAUCUACACCCCAUGGCCAUUAAAAGUUAUUCAAAUCAUGACGCUGCACCCCACGGUUUAGGUUCUAGGGGGCGCCAAAGAUAACCCUAAGAUCCACAUAUUUAAAAGUCUUAUAACUUUUUAUUUUUGCCCUCACUGGCCUCCAAGUUUUCUAGGAUGAUGCAAUGUCCAGCCAUCAACACAUUUGUGAAGGAAUUUUUACUCCCCAAAAGAGCGCCCCCCCAUGGCAGGAGAAAAAAGUCCAUUUUUUCUUGUCCCCUAAGGUGAAAAUACACAUUGUUGAGUGUAACACCUGUACGCUUUGGCAAAAUGACACAAAAAUUGACACACACAUGUAUCUCAAUAAGAUCUUCGAAAAAGUCAAUGGCCACGUAUCUGUAAAAUGUACGGUUAAAGGGUUAUUUCGCAUUUUUUGCAGAUUCGCACACAUUGGAAUUUGGCUAACUCCUCCUAAGGCUUUCGUCCCACUGACACCAAAUUUGCUCAGGCCAAUCUACACCCCAUGGCCAUUCAAAGUUGUAAAAAUCAUGACGCUGCACCCCACGGUUUACGUUCUAGGGGGCGCCAAAGAUGACCCAAAAAUCCACAUUCUUAAAAGAAUCCACAUCCCCCCCUAUGGCAGGAGAAAAAGUCAAGUUUUUCCUGCCCAUCGCUCAAUGGCUCAAUCGCAUCGCUCUCCAGGCAACACCGUAAGGAGGAGCAACCUGGCAUUUCGAUAUAUCAUAGCUGUGUUUGUGCCCUCACUCAUGGUCCAGACUUUUUUCAAAUAGGACAUGAAGUUUGUCUGCAGCGAGUGUUUUGGUAGAAACUGCGCCUCCCAUUCAUUAUAAUGGGAAAUGACCACAGACAAGUGCGCACACCAUCUUUGGACCUUGAGUGUGACGCGAUCGGGAGGGGGAGGCGGUCGCACUGGGGGCGGCGCAACGCGGCUCGGGCCCGCCAGUGCCCCAACGGGGCCCUAGUUAGGGCCCGAGCCAGCUGCAGAGCAGCCGGGCGUAGGCCCUAUUAUUCCCCAAGUGGUUUUUCUUUGUUUCUUUCUUUCUUUCUUUAGGGCCCGAGCGUAGCUGCUAAGCAGCUGCGAGAGCCCUCUUGUUCCUGCAUGUUUCCUUCUUUUGUUAUUAUUAUUAUUUUUCCUCCCCUUUGAACUGGAAAAUGGCCCACUUCCCACUGGCGAAAACUCAUGAAAUUUGGCAGGACGACCGGGCCUGGUGAAAAAUUUGAUAUUCC